CUAAAUAAAUACAAGUGUGCUGACAGUACAGCAACUCGAUUUUGAAAUCAUAACCUACUCAAAAUUUGCGUAGGGUUUUAUGGCUGCCUUGGCUGGUUAUGAUUUCAAAAUCAAGUUGCUGUAUUGUCAGCACACUUGUAUUUAUUUAG